GACGAACGCUGGCGGCGUGCUUAACACAUGCAAGUCGAACGGAAAGGCCCUGCUUUUGUGGGGUUCUCGAGUGGCGAACGCGUGAGUAACACGUGUGUAACCUGCCCUUGACUUUGGGAUAACUUCAGGAAACUGGGGCUAAUACCGGAUAGGAGCUCCUGCUGCAUGGUGGGGGUUGGAAAGUUUCGGCGGUUGGGGCUGGACUCGCGGCUUAUCAGCUUGUUGGUGGGGUAGUGGCUUACCAAGGCUUUGACGGGUAGCCGGCCUGAGAGGGUGAACGGCGACAAUGGGACUGAGAGACGCAGCAGUAUGGUACGGGAGGCAAUAGUGGAAAGUAUGACGCAGCGAGCGGGCGCCUGAUGCAGAGGCGCUGGGUGCGGGAAGACGGCCUUUGGGGUAUAAACAGCUUUGGAAUGUGACGAAGCGUGAGUGACGGUAAUGGAUAAAGAAGCACCGGCUAACUACGUG
rnacentral:rRNA from 1 species